UGUUCCUUUUUUUUUUUUUUUUUUUUUGGUGAUCAAGCCUUUAGGGUUUUUGGAGAAGCAAAAUCUCAAUCGCUCAGUCAGGAUUUAAUGGCGGAGACAGGUCGACCGUGGUUUCUCGAGUCUGCUCCUCUUCUCGUAAUGGUCCUCAUGGUCGUCCACGUCUCAGCGUUGAUUUAUUGGAUGUACAAGUUAGCUUCUCAAAAGCCUGCUCCCCGUAGAAAGACCCACUAGGGUUUAAUUCGAAGGAAUACUAGAGUUUAGUGAAGUUUUCCAUGUUGACCUGUGCAUUCAAAAUUGAACCAGUCCACUCUUCUACUUGUGCUGGUUCUAGGGGGGAAAAGAAAAGAAAAGAAAAGGAUGAUUCUUCAAGUAAACACUUCGCCUCUUGGAACUUUUUUUUUUCUUUCAAUCAUCUUCAAAGCUAUUGUUGCUCGCAACAUGAUAGCUUUGCACUAUUUUUCUGUGUUUUAUAAGUAAGUUCCUCGGGUGAACCUUUUUAACUGUAUGUGGUAACAUCUUGCAGCAGCCGUCGUUAUAUACAAAUGUUGCUCGUAUUUCAAUUGCAGUUAAAAUGAACUAAACAGCGCUAUGUUGAGUUAGCUGGCAUGUGAGGAAUUCUGUCACCUGAUGCUCCUUUCUUAAUUAUUGUAGCAAUGCCACUGCUAUUUGCCUUCAGAAGUUAUAUAUAUUGAAGUGUGUUAUUGGUUCAAGAUUGUUAGUUAGAACUAGGAUAUUUUUUUCUUAGAUUAUCAGUUUUGGUGUAAUUCGUUUAGGACUGGAACUCAAAUUUUAUAUUUAAGAAUUUAAUGGUUUAGGUUUAGAAUUUGGAGCUUGAA